UGUUCAUUUUUCUGUUUUGUUUUUAAAAUCUGUUAACAUCCAGUUCCUCAGUGCAAAUUGACAUUUGGCCCGCUUGUUGGUAACCUGUGGCUUGUAGCUCAGGCCAGUGUGGAACUUUAAUAAGUAAUGUGUACAAUUGAUAUGUCAUAGAAGCCUGUAUUGCAGAGUUAUAUAUCUGGUGGUUAUUAAUUGGGUGGUAAAUCAUAACAAAGGUAACAAAAUGCAAUCAAUGGAUACAUGAAACUCAAAAAUCCCAGGAUUUCUCUGGAGGCAAUGAUAGAUUUGGAAGAUGCUGUGAGGGGUCAUUUAGUACCUUGUCACUGUGACAGAAGGUUAUGUUCCAAAAAUUUGUGGUGGGCUGCCAUACGAUAGCUCCUCUUCGAUCCUAUUGCCAUUCUUUUUUCUCUCUCGAACUCCUUUUGUCAUUUUGACAUGGAAUAACUUUGUGUAUCCUUACUUUUUAGAACAAUUUUUUGCAACUUAAGGUUUUUUUCUUUUCUCUUCGCGCCCCUGCCCCCAGCCACUUAUGUCAAGGACAAGAAAGAACAUUUCGGAGAUCUUUGUUAAUGCUCUCAAAUUGCUUCUGUUUUUAUAACAAAUGUUGACUACUCCUGACCUAUUUUUGAAUAAUCCUUUAAAGAGUCUGGCCCAGACUCCUGUAAACCUCCAAGUUGGAAGAGUCCAUAAUUUCUCAGCAGUUUGUACAAUGCUGAUAUCUGCCAAAUGUAUUUAUUUAGUUCUAUCUACAUGGCAAUUUGCAGAGAACAGGUUUGACAGGCCUCUUCCUGAAGGCACUUAAACUUUAAAAAUAGACAUAGGAAAAGAGGAAGUGGUGGGUGGGUGGAGUCAAGGGUAAACUAUGGAAGAAUAUUUCUGUUUGUAAGUGAAGUGAAAGCAUAAUCUCAGAGUUAUUCCAUUGUUUUGUAGCAGGAUGUUAUGGCCAAAUGUUACACAGCUGGUUGGCAAUAGGCCAAGUUGGAUGUGGGACUUGAAGUUGUUUUCAGCUCCUUUUGUAACAUUUGUGAACAUCUGAUUACUCAGAGGUCAAAUAACCAGUCACUUUAAAAAAAAUUGGUUGAUUGACAGAUUGCGCAUUUACCAAGAAUCAAGUGGUUUCAUGAGUCAUAAAACUGAUCAAGCAAGCUAAUGUGACCUGAUCUUGUGAUGUUAUGUUUGAAUAAUUUGCUCCUGCCUUAACUGUGAGAACAUUAAGCAUGGACCUCUUCGUACAAAUGUAGAAUGGUAACACUGGGCUGUGGCGGAAUCUCUCUUUUCCUGUGAGGCAGUAGCUCUGCAUACCAUUCAGGUCAUUAAUAUGCCUGUUAUAUUUUUGUGUUCACAGUUUCUUUACAGUACUUGCACCAACUUGCACACCAGUUUUUACAGUACUUGCACCAACUUCUCAUGCACCAAAACUUUUCCUCUACUCAUGAUCAAACUCCUUUCCUGCCAAAUUUUCCCAAAGGCAUUUGCUAGCCCAAAUACAUCCCAAUGCCACAUCCGUUUUUAGAAAUUGAUGUACAAGAGCCUUAGCUCCCCAAAGGCUCCUUUCAUGGAGUCUCUGGAUUACUUGCCUAGCUAGUCCCUUAGAUAGCCAUUCUCAGCCAUCAGACAUUACCCAUCUUGCAGAGUCUAGAUUCUUCUCCAUUCCCAGUUCCUUCUUACAAUUUCAGGGCUCACUUCAGAGCCCAUAACUCACAAAUUUGGGCUGAUAAGGAGAACACUCUCCCACUGUCCCUCACCUGGUUCCCUUUUAUUACUUUGUAUCCAUGAUGCCUUUCCCCUUUAGUUUCUAGAGCCACUAAUUCUAUACAAUCAUAAACUUUCCUUUAGCACUCUUCUCCACAGGGCACCUGAGCCCUUCAAGAGGAGAUGUGUAGCAUCAUUUGCACAUAAUUCCAAGUUGAAUAAAAACAUAGAAACAAAGUGAGUCAGAAAGGGGUCCUCCCCUGGUCAUCUAGUCUGACCCCCUGUUUCCCUGCCUCC